rnacentral:lncRNA from 1 species
CUCAGGAGAGACAGGGAUGGAGAAGGCCCUGCUCAUCUGUUCUGCUUUCGGGAGGUCUCACGUGUGGACAAGUACCUGGUGCGGACAAGGAACUGAGCUGGAGCACUAACAUGUUCCUCAGAAGACACUCAAACAACAAGUGCACCUCACAAGAGGGCCAAAGGGCAUCUCACCGAGGCAAUACAAGACAUCAUCCUGGUUUGAGGUCUAAGAGCUGGCAGCUCAGAUGAAACCCAUGCUCUGACCACUCACAGCUUUGGUUUUGCACUGUAGCAUAAAGUGAAAGCAGUUUCCUGCUCUGCUACUGAGCUUAGUGAUGGAUGUGAUCAGUUUUGAAAGGACUGUAGCAAAUAAUCAGAGUUUUCCUCAUGGCAUGUCAUAUGCUGUGCAUGUUUGGGUUUGACAGGUGAUCACAUGACCACUGGAAAGAAACCAAGUAGACAAGAAACAGAUUUCCUGUGUAAAAAAAUCCAAGAAAAUAAUACUGAAGAAAUCAAAGAUUAUAAAAACAAAUUAUUUUCUCUGGUUCCUGUUUAUGGCUUCUUACUCCAGUCUGGUUCCCUACUGCUCCUCUCGGGGAAUAACUUCAGGUAACCUUCCCAAGACUGAACUAGAUGUUUAUGGAAUUCAGGGAGGACGAGCAUUUGUGACUGACUUGAAGUAUAAUCUGUUGGACUUGGACAGCAGCCUGUAUUCUUUGGGAUAACUACACUUGCGUCACUUCAGGUUCUCAGGCCAGAUCCCAAGUUCAUGUUUGAUCUGUCUUUUCCUUUUGAAAUAAAACUCAGAUCAGCUUCUUCCUAAAGUUGUGC